UCUAACGUUUAAGUCUUUAAUCCAUCUUGAAUUAAUUUUUGUGUAAGGUGUAAGGAAGGGAUCCAGUUUCAGCUUUCUACAUAUGGCUAGCCAGUUUUCCCAGCACCAUUUAUUAAAUAGGGAAUCCUUUCCCCAUUGCUUGUUUUUCUCAGGGUUGUCAAAGAUCAGAUAGUUGUAGAUAUGCGGCAUUAUUUCUGAGGGCUCUGUUCUGCUCCAUUGAUCUAUAUCUCUGUUUUGGUACCAGUACCAUGCUGUUUUUGUUACUGUAGCCUUGUAGUAUAGUUUGAAGUCAGGUAGUGUGAUGUCUCCAGCUUUGUUCUUUUGGCUUAGGGUUGACUUGGCAUAGAUGUGAGCUACUGCCCCAGGCCUAAAAUGAUUCCUUAAACACACUUCUUAGUUCUAUUUCCUGGCCUUUCAGGUGAGGUGGAAAAGGGUGGCCCAGACUAUCAUUUUAUUCAUCACCCAAAUCUUUCAUCCAGGAGAAGAAGAACAGAGAGGUUAGAGGGCUGUGUUUAGGUGGGUUACAUGCAGACCUGUUUCUAAAGUGCAGAGAGGGAGCUGGCAGCCUCAGCCCCAAGCUCAGCAUCCAUGAGGGAUUCUACUUUCUGGGUAACUGUGCAGAUCAAGGCCUGAUUCUUCACCUCCAUGAGCUCUCACUGUCUGCAUUUGAAUACUCUCUGCAACCCUUAUUCAUUUUGUUACCUACUUUGAUUUUUAGAAUGUCUGUCACUCAAAGUCCUCUGAACUAAAAAAUUCCAAAUUGAAACUACGAGGUGCAGAUCCAUGGUAUUAAACCCCUUCAAGCAGCAGAAGGGGGAAUGGUUUUCUGACGAAGCAGGUCAUGGUAGAGGGGGAGUGAGAGAAUCUCACCACCCCAAGGCUCUAACUUUGUGAAUUUCUUUUCUUUUUUCUUUUCUUUUUUUUCUUUUUUUUUUUUUUUGA
rnacentral:lncRNA from 1 species